rnacentral:rRNA from 1 species
UGGGGAAUAUUGGACAAUGGGCGAAAGCCUGAUCCAGCCAUGCCGCGUGUGUGAAGAAGGCCUUUUGGUUGUAAAGCACUUUAAGUGGGGAGGAAAAGCUUGUGGUUAAUACUCAUAAGCCCUGACGUUACCCACAGAAUAAGCACCGGCUAACUCUGUGCCAGCAGCCGCGGUAAUACAGAGGGUGCAAGCGUUAAUCGGAAUUACUGGGCGUAAAGCGCGCGUAGGUGGUUAUUUAAGUCAGAUGUGAAAGCCCCGGGCUUAACCUGGGAACUGCAUCUGAUACUGGAUAACUAGAGUAGGUGAGAGGGGAGUAGAAUUCCAGGUGUAGCGGUGAAAUGCGUAGAGAUCUGGAGGAAUACCGAUGGCGAAGGCAGCUCCCUGGCAUCAUACUGACACUGAGGUGCGAAAGCGUGGGUAGCAAACAGGAUUAGAUACCCUGGUAGUCCACGCCGUAAACGAUGUCUACCAGUCGUUGGGUCUUUUAAAGACUUAGUGACGCAGUUAACGCAAUAAGUAGACCGCCUGGGGAGUACGGCCGCAAGGUUA